rnacentral:rRNA from 1 species
GUGCUAAGGUAGCAUAAUCAUUUGCUACUUAAUUGGUAGCUGGAAUGAAAGGUUAAACUAGCUUACUCAGCUUGUUGUGUUUUGUAAGAAAUUAAAGUCGAGGUAAGAAUUCUUUGAUCUGCUAGGGGACGAUAAGACCCUAGAAGCUUAAUAAUAAGAGUAUUUAUUAGUCAUAAAAAUUAAUUUGUUUUACUGGGGCGGUAAAGGCAUAUAAACUAUUAGUGUAUUGAUAGAUCCUUAAAAUAAAGAUAAAACGGGAAAGUUACUCUAGGGGUAACAGUGCAAUAUUUUUGGAGAGAUCAUAUCGAUAAAAAUGUUUGCAACCUCGAUGUUGAAUUAAGAUGUCUACGUGAAGCAGCAGGUACGUGAGAGGGUUUUUU